rnacentral:lncRNA from 1 species
UUAUGGCAAUUCAUCAUGCUCUCUGCCAGUUCAUCCUCUCUGAUACGCUGGGACAGUGAAUGUUAUUUGUUCAGGGAAUCAGGUGAUGGCAGGACAGAGAUUCCUGAAGAACCUCCCUUUGAAGGCAAAGGUGACCUCUUUUCAACAACAUAUUAGUGGGUGUUGUGUGGACAGCUGCUGUGACUGCAAGCCUUCAUCAAAACAGCGCUUGAGCAAUCGAGGGGUGGACUGUGACCUGCUCUGCAGAGAAAGAUGGGGCAGAAGGCAUCUGUUUACGCUGUUAUAUUGGCCUUCUUUCUGGGUAAUAGCCCUGGGUAAAGAGAAUAAUAUUAGCUAAAGGAUACUUUUCCCAAAGAUGGGAGUCCUGGCUAUUUUCUCCCUUGCUAAGGUUCCUAGAAAGCAUCUCCCACAUGGGAGACAGAGCUGCUAGGUGGUACAGUCUCCUUCCAGGAGAGGCUGGAAACUCAGAUGUCUGUAAUGUUCUCACAAAGCCACAGACACUGAGUAAAAUAUGGACAAGCCCAAAUCUUAAAGGGGAAUGAAGUUAUAACUCCACCAGCUGGAGCUGAGAAAGGUCGCUGACUUAACUCCAGAAAGGCUGGCAUGUUUUGCUGUUUGUGGAAUGUCCUCGUGUUUCUUACCAGCACACACUGCUGGGACGAGAUCAUGCCAGAGUAAGUUUGUGAUGCUGAGACAUCUCCUGGGUUUGACUGGAGCAGAAAUGCCCUGUGGUUUCUCUACAUCUGGGUGAAAAUAGUAAGUCCUGGAACACCUGAAAAUUGAUGAUAAAAAAUAAAAAGCUUUCCUUCCACCCCCCCA